UACGUAGGGUGCAAGCGUUGUCCGGAAUUAUUGGGCGUAAAGAGCUCGUAGGCGGUCUGUUGCGUCGGCUGUGAAAACCCGGGGCUCAACUCCGGGCCUGCAGCCGAUACGGGCAGACUAGAGUUCGGCAGGGGAGACUGGAAUUCCUGGUGUAGCGGUGAAAUGCGCAGAUAUCAGGAGGAACACCGGUGGCGAAGGCGGGUCUCUGGGACGGUACUGACGCUGAGACGCGAAAGCGUGGGGAGCGAACAGG
rnacentral:rRNA from 1 species